CCUACGGGCGGCAGCAGUGAGGAAUAUUGGUCAAUGGACGAGAGUCUGAACCAGCCAAGUAGCGUGAAGGAUGACUGCCCUAUGGGUUGUAAACUUCUUUUAUAUGGGAAUAAAAUUUUCCAUGUGUGGGAUUUUGUAUGUACCAUAUGAAUAAGGAUCGGCUAACUCCGUGCCAGCAGCCGCGGUAAUACGGAGGAUCCGAGCGUUAUCCGGAUUUAUUGGGUUUAAAGGGAGCGUAGGUGGAUUGUUAAGUCAGUUGUGAAAGUUUGCGGCUCAACCGUAAAAUUGCAGUUGAAACUGGCAGUCUUGAGUGCAGUAGAGGUGGGCGGAAUUCGUGGUGUAGCGGUGAAAUGCUUAGAUAUCACGAAGAACUCCGAUUGCGAAGGCAGUUCACUGGACUGCAACUGACACUGAGGCUCGAAAGUGUGGGUAUCAAACAGGAUUAGAUACCCUUGUAGUC
rnacentral:rRNA from 1 species